AGUCGGCCAAGGCACUGCUUUGCUUUUCACUGCUACAAAAUAGCACUGAACUCUUCAAAAACAAGAGAAUAAAUGGAGGCUCUUUUGACGUCUUAAAUGGACUGAGAUUCUUCAGCAGUGCAUGGGUGAUUUCCCUCCACAAUCGACAUGUACCUGACUACACGACUGCUUUUCGGAAUUCUCACGAAAGGUACAAAGGCCACCUGAUGACAGGCAUCAUUGAUCGAGCAUCUUUGGCAGUGGACACGUUUUUGUUUAUUGGGGCAUUUCUUGUUGGAUACAACACUCUCAAGCAUCUUCGAAAAAACAACGGCAGCAAAGACUGGAUUCUUUCUUGUGUCCACC